ACUUUCAACAACGGAUCUCUUGGCUCUCGCAUCGAUGAAGAACGCAGCGAAAUGCGAUAAGUAAUGUGAAUUGCAGAAUUCAGUGAAUCAUCGAAUCUUUGAACGCACCUUGCGCUCCUUGGUAUUCCGAGGAGCAUGCCUGUUUGAGUGUCAUU
rnacentral:rRNA from 1 species